rnacentral:rRNA from 1 species
GUGGAUUAGAUACCCUGGUAGUCCUAGCCGUAAACGAUGGGCACUAGGUGUGGGGAGGAAUACCUUUCCGUGCCGCAGCUAACGCAUUAAGUGCCCCGCCUGGGGAGUACGGCCGCAAGGCUAAAACUCAAAGGAAUUGACGGGGGCCCGCACAAGCAGCGGAGCAUGUGGCUUAAUUCGAAGCAACGCGAAGAACCUUACCAGGGCUUGACAUAUAGGUGAAGCGGCGGAAACGUCGUGGCCGAAAGGAGCCUAUACAGGUGGUGCACGGUCGUCGUCAGCU